CGUCGGAAGAAGGUUUGGUGGAAGGGAAUAGAGAGAAAGAAAAUUUGUUGAAAGGUGUAAUGUUAUUUGAGAAAGGAAAGUUGGCAUAGAAGGAAGAGAGAAAUGUAUAGGACUUGAUAAAUUUAAUAAGUGGUAAAUGGGUGGUGAGUAGAAAGAAGGGCAGAGAAUAAUAGAGUGUAUCUAAAAUAUUUCUCUGAUGAAAAGGUAGAAGACAAAAGAGCGGUGAUUGUGGAAAAAAUGGAUUAAACAUAAAUAUAGGUUUAAGCAAGCAACACGUAAAGAGCCCGGUUAGCUCCGCGGUAAGGUGUCGGACUCGUAACUCGGCUCGAUUCUUCACCCUGGGUUUUCUUCCCCGUGGUGGUGUGUCCAAACGGGCUCGAGGUAGUGAAAGCUACCCGAUUUUGCUGCCGCAAGCAAUUUUUAUCGUUCGUUUGGUAGAUGUGGGAAGGAAGAGAAGAAGAGUACAGUGCCUAGUCCGGGUAGGCAUGGCACGUAGAUGGGUAAGGACACGAGCAUUUAUCGCACUACAGAUUCAAAUAUAGAGGGAAUUCUACCCUAAAUAUGCUAUUCUAAAUAUAGAGGCAUAUUACAGUUACAAAUUACAAACGUUAUUAAAUAAAACGAAGUAAGUAAUUAAACGAAUAAUUGAC
rnacentral:misc_RNA from 1 species